rnacentral:lncRNA from 1 species
GCACCUUUGCGGUCUGCACCUUUUAAGGUUUUAAGUAACAAGUUUUAAGGUUUUAAGUAACUAGUUAGCAACCUACUUGUUUAUGAAAUAAUGGCCAUAUUACAUUGAAAAUAAACAUUAAACUAUGGUAAUAUAUAUAUAUUUUUAAGGAAAAUAUUUGUGUGUUUCUGUGGGAUCUCUGGUGCUGCACCAUCUUGCCAGUCAUUCUCAGAGCCCUCCGUUUGGAGUGUUCCUAUGUAGCCCCAAGAGUUCCCCUAACCUACCCCUCCAGCCUAACAAUAAUCAGGACACCCUACCCCCUAGACCUGAACGCGCUAAAAAGAGAGUGUUAGGGCUCAGUGGUGAAAUGGGAUUGGGCCUAAAUUAGGAAUGAAUACAAAUAAAACCGGAACGGAUUCCAAAUUCCAAAUAAUCUCUCAAGCGAGAGUCUAAAUGAAGAUGUGGUCAAGAGAGAGUCAAGAUUAAGUCCCAAUUAAUGCAAAAAUGAGUGCAAAUAAGUUUGAAACCUUUUUAAAACUGAAUCUUAUUUAGUCUCAGCUUCUUGUAUGCAUGUCCUGGUCUCUACCUCAGUGUUGAUGUUCGUGGUGUUCAGUGCUUACUCUGACUCUGAGUGAAGAUCUCCUGUUGUGAGCCCAGCAGACCGAAGGAAUAUUACAACAUCAGAAAAAAAGAGAACAGAAAGUGGCCUGUGUGUGCUACAGUGGUUGCAUAAUCAUGUUUAUGAACAGACUGCAGUCUGUUCUAACUCACCAUUUUCAUAAUCUUCUGAGAGACCUGGAGUGGAUCAGCAGUCGGACGACAUGGUGAGUACGGACCAUCGUCUGUAAUAGAUUUAUGGGUUUAUACAAUUUAAUAAUAAAUAAACAGCUGGCUAGGGAUUUGUGGAGGAGUUGAGGAAAGCAGAUGUUUUAAACGCAGUGUUAAAUCACAGGCGGAUGAUGUUUGGUGUGAUAUUUGGACAGGUGUCCUCUGGAACUCUGAUGGGACUCUUCCUGAUCACCCUGAUCUACCCUGAUGUCGAAGCUCGCAUCAGGAACCUCCCGAAAAUCAUCAGUUUUCUCCAGAGCAACUAUUCGGAUGGUGAUGAGCUGGCUGUGGUCAUCAACGUUCCAGCAGCAAAGUGUAAAACACGAAUGAAACCCGAUCAGGACUUCCUCCAGGAUGAUCCUGCCUGGAGAGUGAAGCAUGCCGUGAACAGCACUUCCAGAGUCUACAGAGGACAGCAGCUGAUCGCUGCCAGACCAAAACCAAUCAACAAAGCAAGUAGCUAUCACCCCGAGUACCUCCUGCUCAUCCAGUCCACCCCCUCAAACAAGACCUCCUUCAAUACACCACUGAAGAAGCUUCUGAAUAAAGACAAGCAUGGCUGUGUUGUCUUCUACACCUUCAACUCCCCCUGUGUGAACACCUGCUCAACCCCCGGAGGUCCUUACAACCUUCUCCCUGCCCUGGACCUGCUCAAGGAGCACAAGGGUCCCAAAGCCUUUGUGUUUAGCAGGGUUAAAAAACGUGAGGUCGGUUCAACUUCGAAGAAAAAUAAGCCACUCUGGCACUGCUACAGAAUCGGUAAACAUAUGUACGCCACCAUGACGGUCUGGGACAAUUACGAGAGUCAGGUUCGCUGGGAAGAAAACGUGAGGGAGAUAAAUGCUCGAGUGCCGCUCCACCGAUGUGAGGACGGCAAGUGUGUCCACUGUGUUCAAGACCACGAGGCUGAUGGCAGGUGCAUUCACAAUACUGGCAUAUAAUACCAUGUAAUACUAUAUAACACUAUAUAUUAUUCAAAAGCUUUAGGCACAUUAUUCAAAUCCUUUGAUUUUAGCAAUAAGAAAGUUUUAGUGCCCACUUCUUGGUUUAUCUGUAGGCUUGAUUUAGGGCAUGUCAGUGUGCCUUUGCUAUCGUAAUGACGGGAAAAGUACACCUUGUGCCACUCAAAAUGCACAGAAGGCACGCACUAAUGCUCUUAAUUAAUCAUUGGUGUGUUUUGGGCACAAUGGCAUCAGCAUGUCCCUUGCCAUUCCCUUUAAGUGUCAGGUGCGCUCUGACUUUGGUGUAAUGCUAUUUUAAUGGCGUAGCUACCUGGAUGUGUCCAGCACUUCGCAGCAGAUAAAACUGACCUGCUUGUUUAUGUUGUAAAGGUGCUCCAGCAGCUCAUUUAUGGGAACAGCAAUGCUAUUUCAUUUAAUUUUCUGUUUUUUUGUUGAUGUAAAAGUUGGGUUUGUGCUGCUGUGUGUUAAUGGGUAUGUAAUAAUAAAAAGUGGGGAUCAUCUGUGUUUUCCUCCA